GAAGAGCUCGUGGCAUUGCAGGAGCCUGCAUCUUAGAGAGACGUGAGGGCUAUAUGAGCUUGGGGACGAGACAGUUAAUGCCUCCCUGUGCGAGCGAGUUAUAUCAUACAGCGCCAGUGCCAGGUCAGCAGUCUGGCUGGAGCUUGGACGUGGCUGAGUGUGCCAAGCAGUGCCAAGCACCCCAGGCAGCUGGGAGAGAGGGGUCUAAUUCCAGCCUUCCUUCUGCAGCCCGGAGGAUGCUUUGACAACUGCCUUGCGAAAGGAAACUCGGAGCUGUGUUGGUGAUUCCCAGACAAGCCAUGCUGGAGCAAGGAACUCUCCCGGCUGGGAGCCCACUGCUGCUGUGACAAAGGGAGCCCCGGCUGAGACCCUGCUCAGACACAUUGGAACCGGGAAAGACUGGGUGAUUAUUACCUAACACGUGUGCUACAGAUACGUCCUGUAUCUUCAUUUCUCUGGGAUUCCUUUCGGCAAAUUCUGCGUGAUUUUACCUGCCCGGAAAGGUAGUCUGGGGAUGAAGCGACGCCCCCGUAAGGCGGGAUUUUGAAUACCUGGGAUGUGAGCAGCACGGUACCAAUUCACCUGUUCUGAGACCCGGCCUCUCAGUGUUGGACACAGACAGUGAAACCUCGGGCACGUGACGCGCAGUAACGCGUCCAGGGCCACAGGCAGCACGUGACGGAGCCCAGACUCCUAGGAGCUCGGCAGUGUCCAGAGUUCGCGGCCGUCCCGGACUCCCUGCACAGGCGGCGUGGGAAAUGUUCUCGUGGUCCUGAGUCAGCGGCCUCGCCUUCCCUCCAGAGGAAAGCAACACCUUCCUGCCUGUGGUUGGAGGUCUGCCUGCGAGCAGUGAGAUGUUGCCCCAGGAUCCUUGAGCCUGCAGUUCACCAACAAGCCCUUCCUUUUGGGAAUAAUCGGGGGUAUGUCUGCAGGUGUAGAAAGAAGAAAAGCCCAGUGUACAACUUUAAAGAUGUGCCAGGGAUGGCCACAUAGGUCUCUCUGCAGAGAACUGUAUGCGUUCAGGGACACCUGUGGUCUUUGACGGAUCCAUGCUCCAGACGCAAAGGGAUGCUGGAUAAUUCUGCAAUGCUAUAGGUGUACUUAAAAAGCAUGAAAAAUGUCUGUUUCCAGGUGGCCGAGAAGAAAGGGAAGCUAGAGCAUAAAUAGAGGUUGAAACCAAGCAGCUGUGAAGUUAUCGAGACCAGAAAGACAUCUUUAGGGCUGGGAAACUGACCGCUGCCUGAGGAUGCCUGGGGAGCUUGUGGAUGCUGUGUGCCAUGAGGAUCAGGGGAGCAGCUUUACAAACCCAGGAACAGGGAGGGAGCUACCAUGACUGUGUAGAGACUCGCCUUGCUUGGCCCUCCAGGAACGCAGAGCAAUAACUGAUGCCGGCUCUGGACCCCAGGUGUACCUCUUGUGUGAAGCCUCAGUUCACACCGUCUGCACUCUGGAAAUUUUGAGCAGGAAUUGAAUAUAAAGGUUGAUCUAUAUCCAACUGCAACCCCCAAGACCCCAGCCCAGGGCAGGUGCCUGCACAACUCAGGGUGUUUCUGGGACAGAGAAGGAUAAUCCCCAAGUUCUCACCUGUGAGAACUUGCCACCUUGAGGCUGAACAGACUCGAUAAAAGAAGAAUUCACAUCUGAGGACCUACAGAUGAAGGAAACAUCAAAAUGCACCUUUGAUCAUGAAGACACAAUA